rnacentral:rRNA from 1 species
CCCAGUCAGUGGUAAUACUGGGGCAAACCUGUAGGACGAGUGAUAGGCAAAUCCGUCACUCACAUGUCUGAGAGGAGAUGCAUAGCCGAUUGAGGCGAAUUCGGUGAUCCUAUGCUGUCGAGAAAAGCCUCUAGCGAGCACACACAUGGCCCGUACCCCAAACCAACACAGGUGGUCAGGUAGAGAAUACCAAGGCGUACGAGUGAACUAUGGUUAAGGAACUCGGCAAAAUGCCCCCGUAACUUCGGGAGAAGGGGGACCCCCAUACCGUCAAGGCCCACGCGGCCGGCAGCGGGCGGGGGUGGCACAAACCAGUGAGAAGCGACUGUUUACUAAAAACACAGGUCCGUGCGAAGUCGCAAGACGAUGUAUACGGACUGACGCCUGCCCGGUGCUGGAAGGUUAAGAGGACCGGUUAACCCUUCGGGGUGAAGCUGAGAAUUUAAGCCCCAGUAAACGGCGGUGGUAACUAUAACCAUCCUAAGGUAGCGAAAUUCCUUGUCGGGUAAGUUCCGACCUGCACGAAUGGCGUAACGACUUCUCAACUGUCUCAACCAUAGACUCGGCGAAAUUGCAUUACGAGUAAAGAUGCUCGUUACGCGCGGCAGGACGAAAAGACCCCGGGACCUUCACUACAACUUGGUAUUGGUGCUCGAUACGUUUUGUGUAGGAUAGGUGGGAGACUAUGAAGCGGUCACGCCAGUGAUCGUGGAGUCGUUGUUGAAAUACCACUCUGAUCGUAUUGGGCCUCUAACUUCGAACCGUAUAUCCGGUUCAGGGACAGUGCCUGGUGGGUAGUUUAACUGGGGCGGUUGCCUCCUAAAAAGUAACGGAGGCGCCCAAGGGUUCCCUCAACCUGGACGGUAAUCAGGUGUUGAGUGUAAGUGCACAAGGGAGCUUGACUGCGAGACAUACAUGUCAAGCAGGGACGAAAGUCGGGACUAGUGAUCCGGCACCCCCGAGUGGAAGGGGUGUCGCUCAACGGAUAAAAGGUACCCCGGGGAUAACAGGCUGAUCUUCCCCAAGAGUCCAUAUCGACGGGAUGGUUUGGCACCUCGAUGUCGGCUCGUCGCAUCCUGGGGCUGGAGCAGGUCCCAAGGGUUGGGCUGUUCGCCCAUUAAAGCGGCACGCGAGCUGGGUUUAGAACGUCGUGAGACAGUUCGGUCUCUAUCCGCCGCGCGCGUCAGAAGCUUGAGGAAAUCUGUCCCUAGUACGAGAGGACCGGGACGGACGAACCUCUGGUACACCAGUUGUCCCACCAGGGGCACCGCUGGAUAGCUACGUUCGGACAGGAUAACCGCUGAAAGCAUCUAAGCGGGAAACCCCCUCCAAGACCAGGCUUCUCACCCAUUAAGUGGGAUAAGGCCCCCCGCAGACUAC